AAAAUAUUUAAGAUAUAAAAUAUAAAAAUUAUUUAAAAUAUAAAUAUAAAAAAUAUUUAAAAUAUAAAAUAUAAAAAAUUUUAAAAUAUAAAAUAUUAAAAAUUUUAAAAUAUAAAAAAGGGAAUGUGACUCAGUGGUUAAGUGCCCCUGGAUUCAAUCCUCAGUAUAAAACAAACAAACAGAACAAAACAAAAUAAAAAAAAAACCCAAACAGGCUUCUGAGUCCCAGAAAUUCAGAUGAUACAGAUUGGAGAGCAGGAUAGUUGGCAUUUUUAAAAACUUCCCUCUGCGUGUCUGAUGAUUCUGCACACUGUAUUCAAUAGGGAGAAAUUUUAAAUAUUUCAAGGCACAGUCCACACUCAGGCCUAUUACAUUUGCAGAUGGGAUUCCCUCCCCACCAGAAUUUUUAAAAGGUCUCAGGAGAUUCUAAUAUUCAGCUAAAUUGUGAACCACUGUCCUAAACGGUGUGGUCCUUGGGAGCAAGAGCUAGAGAUUUCUGGGUGCCUGUGCUAGAGAAUUGCCUCCACCAUUGCUCCCACUGACAUCUGUCCACUUCACCCGUCUUUCUACCCUCCCUCCCUCCCUCCAUUUGGCAAUUAUUUAUUAAAUCUACUUUAUGUCACUCUGUGUUCUAGGCAUGACAGGUACACAAGUAAACAAAAUGGGCAAAAAUCCCUGACUCUAAGCAUCCUUUAUAUUUGAAUAGGGUAAGACAAAUAUGAGAACGGAGUCCCAUACAGAGAUGUCCGUUAUAGCAUCAUUUGUGAGAUUGAAGAAGAAAUUGGAGAGAGUUCAAAUGUCCAAUAGAGGUAGUUAAACUGUAGAAUACGAUAUAGCAUCCGGUCACUUAUGGAUGUAAAUAGGAGGGAUCUGGGUUGAAUCCAAGACCAUUGUUCCCAGAUUGUAUGAUCUGAGACAAGUUAGUUAAUGACUCUAAGCCCCACUUUCCUCAUCUGCAAAAUGGAGAAUAAC
rnacentral:lncRNA from 1 species